rnacentral:rRNA from 1 species
GACGAAGGAUGCAAGCGUUAUCCGGAUUCAUUGGGUUUAAAGGGUGCGUAGGCGGACUGAUAAGUCAGUGGUGAAAUCUCUUUGCUUAACAAAGAAACUGCCAUUGAUACUGUCGGUCUAGAGUAUAGAUGACGUUGGCGGAAUAUGACAUGUAGUGGUGAAAUACUUAGAUAUGUCAUAGAACACCGAUUGCGAAGGCAGCUAACGAAACUAUAACUGACGCUGAGGCGCGAAAGCUGGGGGAGCAAACAGG